rnacentral:sRNA from 1 species
AUAACACCCGCGACCCCGCAGCUAAGCGCAGCUCCCGACGCAAUGGACCCGGCGCUGGCAGCCCAGAUGAGCGAGGCUGUGGCCGAGAAGAUGCUCCAGUACCGGCGGGACACAGCAGGCUGGAAGAUUUGCCGGGAAGGCGUGAGUGAGGAGCUGGGCGGGAAGGGGUCGCGGAGACGGCUUCGUGGAGUCCGGGUCCCCAGAAGCCCCCAAGCCCCUCCUCUCCCCGUUGUUUUCUGCUCCCCAAUCCCCUGGACCCGAUUGAGAGGGAUUCCAAUGGGGAUUGUUUUCUUCUUUAAAAAAAAGAUUGGGCCUGUUAUGCUCACAAUGACUUCAGGUGGUAAGUAUCUGUUCCUUUCACUCAGUGACUUGCCCAAGGUCACCUGGCUGUCGAAUGCUGUUUAGGACUGGAUGUUUCUGUGACAGUGGUAAAAGUAAAUAAAUUGCAUUUAAGGGGUAAGCAGGUGUUUAAAAACAAAACAAAAUGAAAGAAUGUGGUCGCAGCUAAGGAGGUUUUUACAUGUUGUUUAAAUCCAGUAAAGUCUGAUCCAGCAUCUGAUGCAUACUAAGGUUUUCCUCUGUGUUCAUUACAGCAUGAACCCCUUUCUUUGUCUUUGCCAGAGGGUAGCAUGGGAGUAGUUUUGCUUGACCCUUCUGACUUAACAAGUAGCCCGGGGUUGCUCAAGGAAACAAAAUGCCUGGUGGCUUUUAAGAUAAUUUUAAAAACCACCCACGGCUCUUGGAGUCAGCCAGUUAAGAUCUUUUUCUUCAUCACAUUCUGCUGUGGGGACAGCUUUGCCCAAGACUAGUCCCAGCUUUUCCACGUAUGGGUUGCACAGCCUUGGAGAGUCGUAUCUCUUGAGGCCUCUUACCCCUCUUCUGUAGAACAGGGGAUUAAGCCAGGUGACCAGAGCCCUUCUAGCUCUAAAAUUCUGUGGUUCUGUGCCUUUUGACAGAAUGGAGUUUCAGUUUCCUGGAGGCCAUCUGUGGAGUUUCCAGGGAACCUGUAAGUGCAUGCCUCGUUCAAAGAUUACCAGAGGUGCCGCACCCUUCCUGGUAUCUUUAUGGGUCUGCCUCCUAAAAUAUUCAAAUCAACCCUAUAACCUGUGAUCACUUGUCCUCCAGAAAAGCCUUACUGUUUUUAGUGAAAUCUUUUCCAGCAAACUGUAUUCUUAUGAAAGCUUACUGUCCAUUUCUGCAGGCCUGAAGGGAGGCGGGGCUAGUGACUUUCAGCCCCUUCUCUGCAAGUCUGUCCUAAAGAGUAGUGACAGACAUGGCAUGGUCCACCUUCUAGUCCUUAGAUACAAUCUCAAGAUAACAAGUUUGAUUGAUGCGUUGGGGUCAAAUUCCUUUUUGUGCUCCAGGUACCGAGGAGAAGGCAUUGUAUAUGGGACACCAGAGGAGGUGUGGGACUGUGUGAAGCCGGCUGUUGGAGGCCUACGAGUGAAGUGGGAUGAGAAUGUGACCGGUUUUGAAAUUAUCCAAAGCAUCACUGACACCCUGUGUGUAAGCAGAACCUCCACUCCCUCCGCUGCCAUGAAGCUCAUUUCUCCCAGAGAUUUUGUGGACUUGGUGCUAGUCAAGAGAUAUGAGGAUGGGACCAUCAGUUCCAAUGCCACCCAUGUGGAGCAUCCGUUAUGUCCCCCGAAGCCAGGUUUUGUGAGAGGAUUUAACCAUCCUUGUGGUUGCUUCUGUGAACCUCUUCCAGGGGAACCCACCAAGACCAAGCUGGUCACAUUCUUCCAUACCGACCUCAGCGGUUACCUCCCACAGAACGUGGUGGACUCCUUCUUCCCCCGCAGCAUGACCCGGUUUUAUGCCAACCUUCAGAAAGCAGUGAAGCAAUUCCAUGAGUAAUGCUGUCGUUACUUCUUGGCAAAGAACUCCCGUGACUCAUCGAGGAGCUCCAGCUGUUGGGACACCAAGGAGCCUGGGAGCACGCAGAGGCCUGGGUUCACUCUUUGGAACAAGCUGAUGGACUGCGCAUCUCUGAGAAUGCCAACCAGAGGCGGCAGCCCACCCUUCCUGCCUCCUGCCCCACUCAGGGUUGGCGUGUGAUGAGCCAUUCAUGUGCUCCAAACUCCAUCUGCCUGUUACCCAAACACGCCUCUCCUGGCAGGGUAGACCCAGGCCUCUAACCAUCUGACAGAGACUCGGCCUGGACACCAUGCGAUGCACUCUGGCACCAAGCCUUUAUGUGCCCAUCACUCUCAGAGACCACGUUUCCCUGACUGUCAUAGAGAAUCAUCAUCGCCACUGAAAACCAGGCCCUGUUGCCUUUUAAGCAUGUACCGCUCCCUCAGUCCUGUGCUGCAGACCCCCAAAUAUAUUUUUCUGAUAUAGACCUUGUAUAUGGCUUUAAUGCCGCAAAAUAUUUAUUUUUCCUUAAAAAAGGUGUCAACUUGGAAAUAAUGGUUUAAAAACAGGAUAAGCAUUAAGGAAAAAC